UCCUACGGGAGGCAGCAGUGGGGAAUCUUGCGCAAUGGGCGAAAGCCUGACGCAGCGAUGCCGCGUGCGGGAAGACGGCCUUCGGGUUGUAAACCGCUUUCAGCAGGGACGAAAUUGACGGUACCUGCAGAAGAAGCUCCGGCCAACUACGCGCCAGCAGCCGCGGUAAGACGUAGGGGGCGAGCGUUGUCCGGAAUUAUUGGGCGUAAAGGGCUCCUAGGCGGUUCAGUAAGUCGACUGUGAAAAUCCAAGGCUCAACCUUGGGACGCCAGUCGAUACUGCUGUGACUCGAGUUCGGUAGAGGAGUGUGGAAUUCCUGGUGUAGCGGUGAAAUGCGCAGAUAUCAAGAGGAACACCAACGGCGAAGGCAGCACUCUGGGCCGAUACUGACGCUGAAGAGCGAAAGCGUGGGGAGCAAACAGGAUUAGAUACCCUGGUAGUCCACGCCGUAAACGUUGGGCACUAGGUGUGGGGUCUUAUCAACGGAUUCCGUGCCGCAGCUAACGCAUUAAGUGCCCCGCCUGGGGAGUACGGCCGCAAGGCUAAAACUCAAAGGAAUUGACGG
rnacentral:rRNA from 1 species